rnacentral:misc_RNA from 1 species
GUGAGUCAUCGAAUCUUUGAACGCACAUUGCGCCCGCCAGUAUUCUGGCGGGCAUGCCUGUUCGAGCGUCAUUUCAACCAUCAAGCCCCCGGCUUGUGUUGGGGACCUGCGGCUGCCCGCAGGCCCUGAAAACCAGUGGCGGGCUCGCUGUCACCCCGAGCGUAGUAGCAAUCACCUCGCUCAGGGCGUGCCGCGGGCGCCGGCCGUUAAAGCUGCCUUCGCGCAACACCCAAGGUUGACCUCGGAUCAGGUAGGAAGACCCGCUGAACUUAAGCAUAUCAAUAAGCGGAGGA